rnacentral:rRNA from 1 species
CCCUUAGAUGUUCUGGGCCGCACGCGCGCUACACUGAUGGAUUCAACGAGUCUAAAACCUGCUCUGAUAGGGGUGGGUAAUCUUUUGAAUGUGCAUCGUGAUUGGGAUAGAUGAUUGCAAUUUUUCAUCUUCAACGAGGAAUGCCUAGUAAACGCAAGUCAUCAGCUUGCAUUGAUUACGUCCCUGCCCUUUGUACACACCGCCCGUCGCUCCUACCGAUUGAAUGAUCCGAUGAAUAUCAUGGAUUGAGGAUGCAAGUAGGUUCGCCUAUCUUCAUCUUCGAGAAGUGAAGUAAAUCUUAUCAUUUAGAGGAAGGAGAAGUCGUAACA